rnacentral:rRNA from 1 species
AGGAUGAACGCUGGCGGCGUGCCUAACACAUGCAAGUCGAACGUCCUGUCUCGCAAGAGGCAGGGAGUGGCGGACGGGUGAGUACCACGUGGGUCAUCUACCGUGAGGUGAGGAAUACCGGCGAGAAAUCGCCGACAAGACCGCAUAGCCUCGGUGCAAGUCGAGGAAAGCUCUUUCGAGAGAGGGAGCGCCACACGAGGAGCCUGCGCCCGAUUAGCUAGCUGGUGGAGUAACGGUUCACCAGGGCGACGAUCGGUAGCUGGUCUGAGAGGACGAUCAGCCACACUGGGAUUGAGAACGGCCCAGACUCCUACGGGGGGCAGCAGUGAGGAAUUUUCGUCAAUGGGGCAACCCUGAACGAGCAACGCCGCGUGCAGGAAGAAGGUUUUCGGAUCGUAAACUGCUUUUCGUCGGGGAAGAGAACGGACGGUACCCGAGGAAUCGACGCCCCGGCUAACUACGUGCCAGCAGCCGCGGUAA